CUGAGCAACUGCCCCUCAGUGAAGAGUGUUUGUGGGUAGGUGGCAGUGGAUUUUAUCCAGAUCUACCUCAGUGGAUCCUGCCAGGGAAAGGUCCAGUUAUUUCCUUUCAGGUGGUACGAUGUGGCUGGGGACAGGCUGUUUGUGUUGUCGUAACUGGUGCAGAACUGUGUAGCUUUCAAGCAAAUAUUUAUUCCUGGGUGAAAACAACAACAACAACAAAAACCUGGGAAUCCAAAACUGUCUACCUAUGGAUGAAUUGUUCUCUCAUAGAACAGGUGUAUGAGACAGCCAUAGACUCCAGGUGUGUGAAAUAGCCAUAGACUCUUUGCUGUUGGAAAGACAGAGUGAGAAUGAGGCAGAAAGAAAAAUGCAUUUCCCUUCCUCAUUUUUCUUGUUACAUUUGACCUUUGUGCUUGCUGCAGCCCUGUCCUGUGGAGCAAAUGGCUGUGCUGUCAGUUACUCCUAACAUUAGCUUUCUUCAGAAAAAGUCCUGGUGUGAUCAGCAUCCCUAAUUCAAAAUACGUGCUAAAAUAAAACAAACUAUUCC
ensembl:lncRNA